AUGAACGCUAGCGACAGGCCUAACACAUGCAAGUCGAGGGGCAGCACAAGGAGCAAUCUGAGGUGGCGACCGGCGCACGGGUGAGUAACACGUAUGCAACCUGCCUGUAAGCGGGGAAUAAACCCGUUGAAAGACGGACUAAUACCGCAUAAUACUAAAUUACUGCAUGGUAAUUUAUUUAAACAUUUAUGGCUUACAGAUGGGCAUGCGCAUGAUUAGCUAGUUGGAGAGGUAACGGCUCCCCAAGGCAACGAUCAUUAGGGGUUCUGAGAGGAAGGUCCCCCACACUGGUACUGAGACACGGACCAGACUCCUACGGGAGGCAGCAGUGAGGAAUACUGGUCAAUGGACGAGAGUCUGAACCAGCCAAGUCGCGUGCAGGAAGAAUGUCCCUAUGGAUUGUAAACUGCUUUUGCAGGGGAAUAAAGUGCAUCACGUGUGAUGUUUUGUAUGUACUCUGCGAAUAAGGAUCGGCUAACUCCGUGCCAGCCGCCGC
rnacentral:rRNA from 1 species